UACGGAAGGCAGCAGUGGGGAAUAUUGCACAAUGGGCGAAAGCCUGAUGCAGCUAUGCCGCGUGUAUGAAGAAGGCCUUAGGGUUGUAAAGUACUUUCAUCGGGGAGGAAAAAACAAAACUAAUAAUUUUAUUUCUUGACGUUACCCGAAAAAGAAGCACCGGCUAACUCCGUGCCAGCAGCCGCGGUAAUACGGAGGGUGCUAGCGUUAAUCAGAAUUACUGGGCGUAAAGAGCACGUAGGUGGUUUUUUUAAAGUCAGAUGUGAAUCCCUGGGCUUAACCUAGGAACUGCAUUUUGAAACUGAAAUACUAGAGUAUCGUAGAGGGAGGUAGAAUUCUAGGUGUAGCGGUGAAAUGCGUAGAUAUCUGGAGGAAUACCUGUGGCGAAAGCGGCCUCCUAAACGAAUACUGACACUGAGGUGCGAAAGCGUGGGGAGCAAACAGGGAUUAGAUA
rnacentral:rRNA from 1 species